UAGAUAGAAGCCAGUUAGCUUGGGCAUAUAGCUGUUAACUAUAUAAUCGUGGGAUCAAAGCCCACCUGUCUAG
rnacentral:tRNA from 1 species